GGGGGCGACCGGCUUCGACGGGACGGUCUGAUGCCGAAGGAAGCAUACCGAGGCCCGCUCCUCGUAAAAAAGGCGGAAACACUAUAGUCGGCAACGACUACAAUUACGCUCUGGCUGCCUAAGAACAGCCAGCGUCUCUUGGGCCUAAUCCUGCGGGGCUUAAAGAGACGACACUUAGCAGGAUAGCUGACGGGGCUAUGUCCGAAGGACCUAUCAGCGAGAUUUAACCGGACUGGCGGCGCAUAGCAUUGCCUGUGGUGGGAUGCUCCGCGAGACCUAAUUACAGGCUAAGUAUGUAGAUGCCCAGGCUAAGCGUUUCCGGACGUGGGUUCGAUUCCCACCGCCUCCACCA
rnacentral:tmRNA from 1 species